GCCCUCGUGGUGUAGUGGUCAGCGCGCUCUGAGCGUAUUCGAGAGGUCCGUGGUUCGAGUCCCGGCAAAGGCG
rfam:Stegodyphus mimosarum contig7583, whole genome shotgun sequence.